rnacentral:rRNA from 1 species
UGUGUAGGCGGUUCUUUAAGUUUGCUGUGAAAUCUCCCGGCUUAACCGGGAGGGUGCGGUGAAUACUGAGGGACUAGAGUACGGGAGAGGAAAGUGGAAUUCCUGGUGUAGCGGUGAAAUGCGUAGAUAUCAGGAGGAACACCGGUGGUGUAGACGGCUUCUGACCGACACUGACGCUGAGACACGAAAGACGUGGGUAGGCAAAACA